ACAAACGUCGAAUCGUGACGGUCUGCGCUCUCAGUUACUCGUACGAACCGGUCUCCCUGAUACAUGUGUUACACGCUAUCCCGCUAAUAAUAUUCUUGUGCAGUGUUUUAUAUUAACUUUUAAAGGAUUUUAACGUGAAUGUAGUGUUUCAUUCGAUUUUAAAACUUUUUUUUAGUGCGUGCGUUAAGUUAUUGUACUUUCGGGUGAAGUGUAAGUUUUAAAAAGUUUUUUUUGGUGGUCGUAUCAGCGUAAGUGACGUAAACUGUCUUAUCAAAGGGAAUUACCGUGAUUUAUGUGCCGCGUUGAACCAAUUGGAUUUGAUAACGCUUCUUUAUAGAAGUUUAGCAAGAUAAAGUUAAACUUUAAAAGUUUUUGCCUAUUUGCGCAAAUUCUCACGUCAGAACUAUCAGCUGGAGGUCAAAAAUACAGAGUUGACACCAUUCUACGGAUUAAACAUGUCAUAAGAUAAUAUAUGGCGAUUAGAGGAUGAGCCAUGGAAUCACGAAGUGCGCCGCCAAGCCCCGACGAAUCUGGGGAGGCGGUGUUCGACUCACGGUGUGGACGAUACCCUCACCAGCCUUCUCUACAGAGGGCCUUUGCAAGCUGUCGCGAGACCGGUCGACCUCGACCCCAUCAUCGUCAUGCAGCAUCCGAGCCAGCACGACCAGACGAUCGUGUUCUUACAACAGCCGAGGUACACGAUUAUCCCUCAUCAGAGUCAGGCAUCGCUGCCGAUUGCCCUCAUCCACAUUCGAGCAACGCCGACGAUAGUCCGUGUUACGAUCGAUCAGAUUACGAAGGAAAUUCUAAUUACAGUCUAAGGCACAACUUUCAUCACACGAUCGAUUGCAGUAAACAUAGAUCUGAAUUAAAUUGUAGUCAUACUCCAGAUUACAACCACGAUGAUUCUGAUUGUGAUAGAGGGCAUUCUCGUUCACAAACAUCACGUCGCCCACAUCGAAAACAUAGACGAGAGGAUGGAGAUGAGGCACAAUCACUUGAUGAACGUUGUGCCCGUGAUCUUGAUGAAAUAUUACCUGCAAGGCUUGCUGCAGUAAAUCUCUCGAGGGACCAGCCACCACAAUCAUGGAAUCGAAGUAAUAUUGCAGCUACAAUGGAGCGGUUUGAACCCGUCGAUUACUCCUAUGCUUAUUACGACCAUCAUUUAUCAAUGCCUUCUUCGUCAAGGAAAGCAAACCGUCUGCGCGGACGAGGUGGAGUCCCGCGGGACCGAUCUGCUCGACACAAUUUUGUAACGAGAUAUGGCACUGAAGAAAACAUUUACGAGGAAAUAACAGAUGGUUCUAGAACAUGCCCCAAACAUCGAUAUGGACCUCGGCAAUCUCUAGUUUCACUUGAUAGGAGCGUUGUUGAAGAAGAAGUGCGUAGAGUAGAGUCAAGACAUAAACGAAUUUUGGGAGAAUUGAAUCUUAGUGUAGAAGCGAUGUUAAUGCCAGAGUGUGAAUCACCUGACUCUGAAGUGGCUGAGGACCGUGAUAAUAUAGAAGAAUUAUUAAGAGUUGGUCCCACAGAUGAGUUAUUAUCUCCUGCUAGCUGUAAUCCUCCCGAUUUGGACAGUGGUUUUAGUGGAAGCAGUAGUGGAGCAAGCUAUGUUGGUAGCUUAAGAAGAAAACCUACAGGUUCAGUACCACAUCUACCUGCCGUAGCUUAUGGAACGCGAGGUGCUGGUGUGCGAAUUUUAGGUGCAGAUGAAUGUAAUUUGCGCUGUCCUCGAGAUGGUCCGUCGCCAAGAAGCUCUAGUUGUGGAGAUGCAAAAUCCAGUGGCUUUUGGAAUAAAAAAGCUUGGAGGAAAAUAUCUGGGUUUUCGAGCUCCAAUAGUAUAAACAAAGCUGGCUUAACAGGUCUGCUCGUUAGGUACACUUUCCGACGUAAGUCCGGCUCGCAAGGUACUCAGGGCAAGCGGCGUGCCGAGCCCGUCAAAUGCGAUGCGUGCCUCUCACAACGAUGUUAGCCGCUAUUAUGAUGAAGCAUGUAGGCCAAGCAGAGCUAAAUCCAGAACGGCUACUAUACCAUACAGUUACUCCAACGGAAAACUGGUGGUGCCGUUGGAUUCCCUAGCACAGAGCUGAGGGGCGGAACCCCCUUGCAAUUCCCGCCUCGAAUUCCUGCGAAGGACUUAUAAGUACUAAAGAGCAACAAUGAAAGCGAACAAGAAAGUUACUUGAAGUAUACAAGUAUUACAUGUAGUAUUACAUAACUCUAAAUUAACUACGGGCGAAGUGAGAAUUCACGAUUCUAUACCUUCGUUGUUUGAGGUUGUCAUGAUGAGCUUGUUUAACUUCCACCAGCACAUAUGGCAUCAGCACUCGUUAUUUUUCAAGAAUUCUAUCGUUCGUUAAAUCAAUUGCAUUUAAAACUUUAAAUAAAAUGGGUUGCUCUCCACAAGUUUCAAUUUCGGACGGGUUGACGAGUUGUUCAUUGCCAAGAGAAUAUUUAUAUCAACACCAACAUUCCAAAUGAUGUUGCGAUUAGUGGUACCUUUGGACCACGAUCUGCCAGUGAGUCUAUAAGACACGCUGCUUCGGCUUCACUUUAAUUUUUGUACUGUAAAAUUGUUGUAAAUAAAGCAAUCAAUGACUAAUAGAAAAAGAGGCGUAUACGUUAAAGUGAUAGAUGAGCCUAAUAAAUAUUUUGUAUUGUUAAGAUAACAGUUUCAUAGAAACAUACUACGUUGUUGUUACUUAUCAAUUUUUAGUAGAUAUUAGGUACCAAAAGGCUGACACGAUUUAAUCCGAUUUUAUACAUGUAUUAUAACCCAAUAGCAUUUUUUUCAACUCAUCAAUGCUCUUAAAAACAAUAAUUGUUAGUGUCAGUUUUAUAUUUAAUUUAUUUCAUUUUAGACACAGUUUUAGUUUUGUCGUUGUCAUUAUAAAUAUAUGUAUGUAAAUCAAGGUCCAAUAUUUUCUUUGUAUAAAUAUUUCUUUUUGUAAAAUGUUUUCUUAAUCGAGACCGUUAUUUUCGUGUAAUGACUGUUAAUAAUUGUUAGAAUGUAAUUGUAAAAUAUGUAAAUAAUAAUAAACAUGGUGCACUCAAUCACAUCAUAUUUACUUGUAUAUAAAACGUAAAAUACGAUGUGUCGCAAUUGUGUUAGAUAUUUAUAUGCGAAAUAUGUAGGUUACAGAUGCGUAUUAAGAAAAAAUUAAUAACUGCCAGCCUUGUAAUAGUUAUAUGGGUGUGACUAUAAUCAAAAUAAAACUAUCUAACUUGUCGGACAACAUUUUUAUAUAAUCGUUGAUAAACUUUUAGUGAAAUUUUCAAAAGAAUAAAUAAUUAUUGUUUAAGAAUAUUACAUACGUGUAAUUAUUUGUUUAAAUCUAUGUUAUAUUCUGUUCAAUGUCAAAGUUUUCUUCUUAACAAUUUAACCGUUAGGUAUAUUAAUAAUAUUCAGUCUUAAGCGAGUAUGUAAAAUAUUAUGAGACUAAUAUUGCAUGUACGGCGUAAUUCUAAACGGAUACCAUCCCAAAGAAGUUUCAUUUUCGUUUGGAAUCAUAGUCUAUCCUCAUAAAAAAGGAUUUUGUCUUAUUACGAGUUCACUUAAUUCGAUUUUUGAUGACAAACAUUUGUUUUUCAAAAAAAUCAUAACUCGAAAAAAUAUUAUAUUUUUUAAAUUUUUAAUUUUACAUUAAGAUGAAUAUAGGUUUUGCAAUAUACGAAAGUUUAAAAAUGUAAAUUUUUUAUCGACUGAAUAUUUAUUGAUUCAACUUUAAAAAUCCUAUGGUCCGUUAGCAAGUCACUUUCGAUUUAGAUAAUCGACUCACGUAAACGCCGUGUUACAAAAAGCCUAUAUCGAACCAACCCGGUCAUAAAUAUUAAUAUAAAUCUAAUUUGGAGGAAAAAAAAACAAUUUUGCAAUUAUUCGUUUUAAUAAAGAAAAUUAAAAAAAAAAACGAAUUGUAAUUUUUUUAUCAAAAGAAGCACUGACAAGUUAAAAUGAACUAACUUUAUUGAUUAUCUUUUUUACAUUUACUAAAAUUAAUGAUAUUUUAUCUUUAGACGCUUUAUUCUUACAAAACGAAUUUAAAACUGACAUCCAUUCAAAAUAUUAUAUACGGAAUUUUAUUUGUACAUUAAAGAAAUAGAGAAUUUCUCAGAAAGUAAAAAUGCACUGUUAUUGAAAAGAGAUAAAUAAAUGAUUCUUAAUCCAUCCUUGAAACUCGAAAGUACUCGUUGUUGUAUAAGAUAUUUUUGAGAAGUGUCUUGAGAUAGGACGUUAUUAAUCCAACUGGCAUAUAAUUUGCAAAUGUCAAUAAAAAAUAUAUAAAUGUGAAAGGCCAUUUUAUGAAAUAAGUGAUAAUACAAAAGUAUCGUCUAUCUUGAAGAUUGGUAUAAAUAAAAUAUAUAAAAUUAUAAAAUAAAAUGAAAUAAAAUACAGCGUCCAAAUAUCUUAAUAUUUGUAAUUUGUCACGGACCUUUUAAAUUACUGUAAAUAUUACUAUGUAUUAAAACACUGUUCUUAAUCAGCGAGGUAUUAUUUCAUAUGUUUGUCGUAAUCAACUCGACUGAUUUAUCUUAAAUAAUCAAUGUUACACUAUUUCUUUAACUGUCUGUAAUUUAGUGAUCGUGUUCAAGUCAAAAGAGAUUUUUAUUAAAUAAACUUUAAAAUGUCA